rnacentral:rRNA from 1 species
GACGAACGCUGGCGGCGUGCUUAACACAUGCAAGUCGAACGGAAAGGCCCUGCUUUUGUGGGGUGCUCGAGUGGCGAACGGGUGAGUAACACGUGAGUAACCUGCCCUUGACUUUGGGAUAACUUCAGGAAACUGGGGCUAAUACCGGAUAGGAGCUCCUGCUGCAUGGUGGGGGUUGGAAAGUUUCGGCGGUUGGGGAUGGACUCGCGGCUUAUCAGCUUGCUGGUGGGGUAGUGGCUUACCAAGGCUUUGACGGGUAGCCGGCCUGAGAGGGUGACCGGCCACAUUGGGACUGAGAUACGGCCCAGACUCCUACGGGAGGCAGCAGUGGGGAAUAUUGCACAAUGGGCGGAAGCCUGAUGCAGCAACGCCGCGUGCGGGAUGACGGCCUUCGAGUUGUAAACCGCUUUCGCCUGUGACGAAGCGUGAGUGACGGUAAUGGGUAAAGAAGCACCGGCUAACUACGUG